UGUUCCUACGGGAGGCAGCAGUGGGGAAUAUUGCACAAUGGGCGCAAGCCUGAUGCAGCCAUGCCGCGUGUAUGAAGAAGGCCUUCGGGUUGUAAAGUACUUUCAGCGGGGAGGAAGGGAGUAAAGUUAAUACCUUUGCUCAUUGGCGUUACCCGCAGAAGAAGCACCGGCUAACUCCGUGCCAGCAGCCGCGGUAAUACGGAGGGUGCAAGCGUUAAUCGGAAUUACUGGGCGUAAAGCGCACGCAGGCGGCCUGUUAAGUCAGCGGUAAAAGCCCGGGGCUCAACCCCGGCGAGCCGUUGAAA
rnacentral:rRNA from 1 species